rnacentral:rRNA from 1 species
CCUACGGGAGGCAGCAGUGAGGAAUAUUGGUCAAUGGACGAGAGUCUGAACCAGCCAAGUAGCGUGAAGGAUGACUGCCCUAUGGGUUGGAAACUUCUUUUAUAAAGGAAUAAAACGAGGCACGUGUGCAUUUUUGCAUGUCCUUUAUGAUUAAUGAACGGCUAACUCCGUGACAGCAGCCGCGGUAAUACGGAGGAUCCGAGCGUUAGCCGGAUUUAUUGGGGUUAAAGGGAGAGUAGAUGGGUUGUUAAGUCAGUUGUUAAAGUUUGCGGCGAAACCGUAAAAUUGCAAUUGAUACUGGCAGUCUAGAGGACAGUUGAGGUAGGCGGAAUUCGUGGUGUAGCGGUGAAAUGCUUAGAUAGCACGAAGAACUCCGAUUGCGAAGGCAGCUUACUAAACUGCCACUGACAUUGAUGCUCGAAAGUGUGGGUAUCAAACAGGAUUAGAUACCCCUGUAGUC